rnacentral:lncRNA from 13 species
UUGUUUCUCUCAGAACUUCGUGCAGAAGCCCCCUCAAGGCCCCAGGCUGAGCCAUCAGGCCAAGAUGGCCAAGGCCGAAAAGAAUGCCAGAGAGGCCAUUGAGCCCAGAAAGGCUAGGGAGACCAAUGCAGUGGCGAAAAAACCAAGCCGCCAAGUCGUUGGUGUGUUGGCGCUGCCGCCACCUCUUCUAUCUCCGACGACCAAUUACAGUGAUAGAAUUAUAAAAGAACAUACAAUCUGGUUGACGGAUCAAAUAAUGGUUUGACUCUCCUCUUUCUGUAGGUGUCCUGCCAGCUAUCAAGAAGGGCACUAAAGUGACUAAGGUGGAGACAGCAGGUGGGUUUUUGGUGACACAGUGGUUAUUCAAUCGAGUCGUUGCCGUGGUUACUAGCUUGUUCGGUGGUAAUUCUGAUUGUCUUCUGUUUCAGAGCCACCAGGCCCCUUGACACCUGAGGAUGGGGUGAGAAUGAACUCCUCUCCAUCUGUUGAUGACCCCAUGACCCCAGAGAGUGAUGUCACCUCCGAUGCCACUUCUCUGGCGGACCCACCCUGUGAGAUGACACCCGAGAAUGUAGAGGAGGCGUCCUCUCUAAAGGACUUCCUGAAGUCUCACCCCCAGAGAAAGCUCAUCAGGAAGUUCCUCAAACAAAAGAUAACCGUGGCUGAUGAGCUGGGAAAAAAACAGUCUCUCCUCCUGCGGAUUACAGCUGCCAUGGAAAAACUAUUUUGCCUCCCCUGCAAAAAAAUAAGCUGUAAAAAGUAAUUGUGUGGGUAUUCCCACUUAGUAGGCACUUCAGUGCACCUGCCUCCUCUACAAACCCAGAGUCAACAGAAGAGGGAGACAAACCCCCCUACUCACAACACAUUUGAUGAUUCCAACCAUACCCCCACGCUAUGGAGGCGAGGGAGCCAUCUGUUGAAUGGCGGACACUAUCACACACGUCAUAGAUGACCAUGCAGAGGGUUGGAGCUCUGACGGCCAUUUUGGAGCCUGGAGGAGCCGUGGGAGUGGGAGUUCCCACUCCUCAAAGAGUGACAUCACCCUCACCAAGGAGCUCUUGGCUGAAAGGGCCAAGGAAGCGGACCAAGACGACGUG